AACGAACGCUGGCGGCAUGCCUAACACAUGCAAGUCGAACGAGACCUUCGUGUCUAGUUGCGCACGGGUGCGUAACGCGUGGGAACCUGCCCUUAGGUUCGGAAUAACUCCCCGAAAGGUGUGCUAAUACCGGAUAAUGUCUUCGGACCAAAGAUUUGUCGCCGUUGGAUGGGCUCGCGUUGGAUUAGCUUGUUGGGAGGGUAAAAGCCUACCAAGGCUACGAUCGAUAGCUGGUCUGAGAGGAUGAUCGGCCACACUGGGACUGAGACACGGCCCAGACUCCGACGGGAGGCAGCAGUGGGGAAUAUUGCACAAUGGGCGGAAGCCUGAUGCAGCAACGCCGCGUGCGGGAUGACGGCCUUCGGGUUGUAAACCGCUUUCGCCUGUGACGAAGCGUGAGUGACGGUAAUGGGUAAAGAAGCACCGGCUAACGACGUG
rnacentral:rRNA from 1 species